AAGAGGUGAAUGUGUCAUGAGGGCUCUCUGCCCUCAUGAGUGGAUUAAUCCAUUCAUAGAUUAAUGGAUUAAUGAAUUAAAGGGUUGUUUUGGGAGUGGCUGGCUUUAUGACAGGAAGAGAGGCCUGUGCCUGCCCAGUGAGCUCUCUCCCCACAAGAUGCCCUGUGCUGUCAUGAGACUCUGCAGUGUCCCUACCAGCAGGAAGGCUCUCCCCAAAUGCAGCCCCUUGACCCUGGACUUCCCAGCCUCCAGAACUUGAGAAGAGGAACAAAUGGAGGAACAUCCCAGUCAAGUGACAUUCCUAGUGACAUUCACCAGAACAGAGUCAAGCUUUGGAUCCCAUGUUCUGUGACUUCCUCUUCACCACGCUUCCUCCACACACGUAGCAGCUCAAGGGUUUCUGAUGAGUGGGGUCUAUGUUCCCUUUAUGAGCUGUAACGCACACCAUGAAGGUCUGCGGCUUGGCUAUUGAGUCAGUGAGAGCGUGAACCUACUAUUAGAAGAAAAACUCUGAAUACGUCUGAACGUCAGAAAGAACGAAGUUUGGACACAUUGUCUUUAAGAACUGUAACACUCACCCCAAGGGUUUAUGGAUUCAUUCUUGAAAUCAGUGAAACCAAAAGCUUUCCAAAGUUUAACACACAGGGAAAUGACUUACUGCAAAGAACCACUCUUCCCCACGAGACUUCGAGAAGACCCGCUGUCACGGACUGAGUUGUGUCCUCUUAAAAUUCAGAUGUUGGAGUCCAAACCCCCAGUAACUCAGAGUGUGAACGUAUUUGAAGAGGUCUUUAAAGAGGUGAUGAAGGUCUUUGUCUCUGACAAUUUGCCUCUGUGACGUGGAUGGGACUGGAAGUCCAUUUGGAGCCCUGUCUUCUCCACCUAGGGAGAGAGACCCCAUGAGCUCGUCAAGCUCCUUCUGUGACUGAUCAGAGAUCCCACCGUGAGUCCAGCUCCUGGUCCCAUGCUCUGGAUAUAUCGGUCCCUGGCAGCGUGCAACUCCUUAGCCAAAGACGUGGCAACUGCGGGUGAAGUAUCUCUGGGCAGGAAAUCAAUGCAGAAAUGCAACUGGGGAGAGGGGGCUUGGGGGCCAGUUCCAGGGAGAUUGGAACUGCUGUGUUCUCAUCAGCAGAAGUGGCCCCUGCCCACCCCCAUCCUAAUCCCUUCUCAUGUGGGAGAAGGUCUGUGAGCCCUCUCCCUACCAGGCAGGUUCUAUGGCAAUGUGGGCACAUACCCUGGGGCAGGGGCCGAGGGACUUAACUCACUUCAUGAGCGCCAAUGGAGGAGCGAAGGGAAUGCCUGAUGAAAACAACAUUCUACCAGUAUGCACUGUUUUCUAACCUACAGAGUGCCUCUGUGUUCACUGUCCCAUUUGAGAAUUCUAAGUAGAAUUCUGAACAGGCUGGAGCAGAUUGCCCACCCCAAGGGACAGAUGUUGGCUGGUACUGUUGGUAUUCAUGGAAGAUUCCUUCUGACACUCCCUCCUUCUUUGUAAUUGCCAUGAACUGGAGCACUGGGCCAAUAUAAAUCAUCCAAGGGUGAACACGCUGCACAUGGACGGCUCCUCUUUGUUUUUGAAGGGAUUCCAUCUCUAUUUUGCCAUGUGCUCCUUCACCCCACUCCCCACCCCCGUCUUUCAUUUCUUUCUCUGGAAAAGAUACUUCAACUCACAGGACUGCGAUGUUGAAACGGACACCCAAGAGCAUCACAGAUGGGCCAGGCCUGGACCUCUCGGGACAACAUUCCUCACGACUUUUAGAUAGAAGAGAUUAGAGAUUUGGGACUGGUGGCAACUGGUAACGUUUUCAGUGUUUGGUAAACAGCCAGGGUCCGGAGCUCUGGGAACAGCCUGAUUUAGCUCUUUGUUUAAGUUUUGUGUUAGAGGCUCCCAAGAAGCUGAUGCAGGGGAAAGAAAUUAACAACCAUGGCUCAUUCACAGCCAGGCAGCCAAAUGGACAGCUCUAUAAGACUCAAGCCGACAGCGGAGAGAGUGCAACCAAACAGCCUUGGCCCAGCUUUCAGAGGAGAACGUUAUUCACCCCAACUGCUCUGCAUCUGCCUGGAUGUCUGCCAAGAUCUGUGAGCAUUACAGCGUUGGUAUGCUUUGGGUGAGGCCUGUGGCUAUGGCAACAAGUUGGGAGCAACCCGGUCCCUGGGAAUGAGAACAGUGUCUAAAAUCAGGCAGGCGAGGGGCAGGGAGGAGAGGUAAAGGUUGGACUUGCCUGAAGAUGGAGCCGUUUUAUUGUUGUGGGUAAAGCUGCUACCAUUAGGGGCUGUUUACAGAGUGGGUGCAGCUCAAGCUGGGAGCAUGUUAGACUCAGCGACUACGAUCAACCUAUUGACUUGUUCCCAUGAGACAGAGUAAAUUAACUGUUGCAGUACUGGUCAUGUACCACCAACCUCCUGUGAACCAGCCCUCAGUGAAACAUUUAUGUGAAAGGCCAUGGUGUUCCCAUAAGAGGGUGCAUGUUCUCUCCCUUGACUAACUCUUCAGUAUGCCUCAUUCUCACGCGCUGGUGUGCAGGAAGGAGUCCAACAUGCCCCAUUGACAGUCAUGCCCUGUAUGUGGAAAGUCUUCAGGUAGAGCACUGGGCUCAGGUUUGAAGAUGUGAGUUCUAAUCCUAGCAAGGCCAUUACCUCCCAGUGACCUCAUGUCUCGAUUUCCUCAACCACAAAACAAAGGCAUUGGUGAGCUGACCUCUAAGGCCUCUCCAGUUCUCACCUUCUGUGUCUCUACAGACUGGAGACUAGAAGAUUAUGGGCACUUUUAUUGAGUCUUCAUUUUGUUUCCAUUUCUUUGUAGUCAUCAGCUGGAGUUGAGGACAAGUUUUAACAAUAGAUAGGUUUCUUUUUGUCUCUUUUUAAAAAAUUUUAUUUAAAAUAAAUGCCAAGUGUAGUGGCUCAUACCUGUAAUCCCAGCACUUUGGGGAGGCCAAGGUGGGAGGAUUGCUUUUGAGUUUGAGACCAGCCUGGGCAACGUGGUGAGACCCUGUUUGUACAAAAAAUUUUAAAUUAGCCAGGCAUGGUGGCGUGUGCCUAUAGUCCUAGCUACUCUGGAGGUAGAGGCAGGAGGAUCCCUUGAACCUGGGAGGUUGAGGCCACAGUGAGCUGUGAUUGUGCUAUUGAACUCUAGCCUGGGCAACAGAGCAAGACCCUGUCUCUUAAAAAAGACUAUUUUUUAAGAACACUUUUAGGUUCACAGCGAAAUUUGGAGGAAACUUGGCAUAUGUCAUAUGCCCCCUGCUCCCAUGCAUGCACAGCCUCUACCAUUAGCAAUGUCCCCACUCAAAUGGUACCUUUGUUGUAAUCAACAACCCUGUACUGACACAUCAUCAUCACCCAAACUCCAUAGUUCACAUUAGGUUUCACUCUUGGUGUGGUGUACAUUCCAUGGGCUUGAACAACUGUAUAAUGACAUUAUCCACCACUGCAGGAUCAUACAGAGUAGUCUCACUGCCCUAAAACUACUCUGUGCUCCACCUGUUUGUCCCUUCUUUCACUCUAAACUCCUGGCAACAACUGACCUUUUUACUGCCUCGAUAGCUUUGCCUUCUUCGGAAUGUCAUGUAGUUGAAAUCAUACAUCAUGAAGCCUUUUCAGAUUGGCUUCAUAUAGGUUUCCUUCCUUCCUUCCUCCCACCACCUUCCUUUCUUUCUGUAUUCCUAACUCUUGGAUGUAUUUUCCCCAGCAUCAUGACUUGAUGGGACUUUUGCUAAGAUAGGCAAUCAUAGAAAGUCAUAAAUCUCUUGUCAGCCUUAUUGGCUCACCUCCGAGAUGGUUCCAACACUCUUUAAGGCCCACUUUUCCAAUCCACAGAUUCCCCAGCAGAAGUCCAAGCUGCUGAGCCUCACAUCAUCUUUUGCACUAGUAAUCUUUACCACUACUUCACUGUAGCAUUUGAAAAUUUUCAUAUGAAGCCAUAGUUCUGUGUCUUUUUUUUUUUUUUUUUUUUUUUGGAGACGGAGUCUUAACCUGUUGCCCAGGCUGGAGUGCAGUGGCACAGUCUUAGCUCACUGCAAGCUCCGCCUCACGGGUUCAAGUGAUUCUUGCCUCAGCCUCCCAAGUAGCUGGGAUUACAGGCGCGCCACCAUGCCCAGCUAAAUUUGUUGGCAUUUUUAGUAGAGAUGGGGUUUCACCAUGUUGGCCAGGCUGGUCUCAAACUCCUUACCUCAGGUGAUCUGCCUGCCUCAGCCUCCCAAAGUGCUGGGAUUAAAGGUGUGAGCCACCGCACCUGGCCUGAAGCCAUAGUUCUUAACCUCAGUUGUGCAAUAGAAUUAUCUGGGGAAUUUAAAAAUUAGAAAAAACCCAUGCCCUGAAGAUUGUGAUCUAACUGGUCUUGCGUAGCGCCUGGGCAUUGGUAUUUUUUAAAUGUUUCCCAACUGAUACUAAUGUGGCCAUUCUGCAAGCCACAGUUGAAAGGCUUAUUCAAGCAUCCUGUUGCUGAAUGCAUGUCGUCCUUACCACAUGACUCUGGAGGUUUUCUUGUAUUCUGAUGUGGCUGCCCUGUUGAGGCCUGCCCCUUAGAGUGGAGAUUAUCCCCUGCAGUAGGCUGCCUGGAAUAUGAUCCCCAGUGAUCCCUGCUUCCUGGUAUUCAGGCCCUGGUGUGAUCCCUUUCCCUUGAAGCCUGGGCUGGAUUAGUGACUUGCUUCUAACCAACAGCAUAUGGCAAAAAUAAAUGUUUAUUGUUUUAAA
rnacentral:lncRNA from 1 species